UGAUAGACCAUAUAUCAGGUUCCUCUUUCAAUCCUUACUUUUUAGGUCUCAAUUUGCUGUUAUGACAUGGUUUUGACUUGGUGAACUUGCAAGUACUAAGAUAUUAUUAACAUGAUACAUUAGUUUAGGAUGGCUGAUGUUGUGCUUGUUGUAUUGUGCUAUACUUCUAUUGUUUCUUUUUCCAUGGUUACAACCUCAAAUUUUAAGAUGUACGAACCCUCUGUUCACAUUCUUAUGCUUUGAUAUUUUCAUUAAUACAUGCCUGUUGCUAUGGUUUUCCAACUUUUUCCCUUUAUACUUCACUCAGUCUAAGAAAAUGCAAGCAUAUAUAGCCUUAAGGGUAAAAUUUAGUUGUUCCAACUGAUUAUUAGCCAUCCCUAUAUUUCUAUUCUCUAUUAUUGUUUAAGAGAUUUUUGUAUGCAUUUUGGUGCUUGACCUUGUGGAGAAGAGUGAUAAAUUUUCUUGGAGAUACGAUGAGUUCUUAUAUAUUAUUCAUAAAAAGGUUGAAUUGGAGAGUGGAAAUGAAAUCCUUACUCAAAAUGAACUGAAGCAACUAUUUCACAUUGUGAAUAGAACUGCUAGUUUAGGUAUUAUCAAAUAUAAGAGGAAACUGUGCUUGGUUUUGCAUAAGAAAAUGGUAAAACUUGGGGAAGUCCUUUAGAUCUGCUGUUCUUGUGAGUGGCCAAGUAGGUGCAUUAUAAGAAAUGUGUUUCUUUGUGGCUAGCAAGUCCUUGAAGAAUCCUAAAUUAAUUGCAGAAUGAUAGGAUCAGUUAGAAAAUCAUCAUUCUUGGAUGAUUCAUUACUUGUUUUGGACUUAGUCUCUUACUGCAGAAAGGGCAUAUGUUGGUCUUUGAUCAAUAAGCAUUUGCUUGGAGAAUAUCCAUUUUGUUGAAACAUGUUAUGGGGUUUAUCUUAGAAGGAAAGUGAUGUUUCAACGUGUUCAUGGUAUGCUCCUUGCAACUUCUGUAAUGCCCUCUUUGGAUAGGGUGAUUUGGACGUAAGGAUUUGGAUUUGGACUUUCCAAAUACAAAUAACUCCGAUUGACAAACCUUUUUAAUUGAGAAUUUGGAUUUGAGUAAAUCACCCCUCAGAUUUGGUAAACAAUUGUGCCACCUAGUUAUUUCACAUCUCAGCUUCUUCUCUUUCCCGAACAGAGAAGCUCGGUCUCGUUCCACAUCUUCUCUCAAUGCAUUGCACAGCUUCGGCAAACAUCUCUGCACCGAUUCGUGAAGGAGGUCUCUCACUCUUCUCACAAUUAAAUCAGUGGGUAACCGGAUUAUCCGGAAGAGGAUCCAUGGGCAUGUAGAGCACGGGCAGCCAUCAAGGUGCACUGAGGAGUUCCGCUUGAGGAAGGUGAAGAACGAUCAGCUGAAGGCAGAGGCCAAGGCUAAGCGUGAGGUCAUCAACACCAAGAGACAGCCAAAGGGUCCCAAGCCUGGUUUCAUGGUUGAAAGGUGCAGUGCAUGAGCUUACCUGAGCCAUGAGAAUGAAAAGACAUCUUUUGAUCUUCAAAUUUGGUCUUUGACAAGACAGCAAGCAGAAGCAGAUUGCAAUAGUCUUCAGAAGGAGAAGAAGAGAGAGAAGAGUGCAGCGGAGGAGGGAGAGCUGUUUCCGCCGUGCCCAGAAUAGCCCAAUAGAAAUCGGAGAAGCUGAUCCAGGAAUUGUACAUCAGUGUAACUUUGGGUUAGGGUAACAGAGCGAAGAGGAAUACCAGGAGCUUAGUUCGUAGAAGAUGUGCAGUCCUUCCAACCUUCCCCGGGUAGUGAUCGAUUACCAUACACACCUAUCGGCUUGAUGUCCUUUUUUUUUUUUUUUUUUAGUCUUUGUCUUGAUUUUAGUAAUUAGUUCUGCACAUACCUGGGAUUUGAGUGAAGUAACAGAGGACGGACUGUAUUGUGGCCACUGAGCUUGCGAAGCCCCUCACUGCUUACUGCAUGCAAUGACAGAAACGAGUUUGGAGUAGAAUCUCAGCCAAAAGAGGCUGAGGAAAGUGUGAGCUCCAUGUUGUGACAAAGCUAAUGUCAAAAAAGGACAGUGGUCUCCUGAGGAAGAUAAAGCUAAGUCUUGGGACUCAUGGAACUGGUGGCAAUUGGAUUCAUCUGCCACAAAAAGCUGGCUUUUAGAUUCUUCAACAAGAAUCAAGUUGACCACAUUAAGGGUGAUCAGAACACGUGGUUUUCUAAUAAAGAAGCCAAGCUGCCGAAAUUGCAGAAAGUCACCCCUCAAUUUGGAACUUUGUUUCUUCCAUGACUUGGCAUCUGAGUAAUCGACUGCAAUACUUUGAAGAAAAGUCAGUUUAUCAACACGCACGCACUACUAGCUAACAAAUGUACUACUACUUCUUACUGUACCAAAGUGCUUUAAACUUCAAGCAGUUUUGUUUUUCAUCUGAUGGUAAGCUUAGAAAAAUAAUUCGUUUGCAACAACAUAUAAUGCAUAAGCUUUUGACAGAAAAUGAAAAUUC